AUGAACGCUGGCGGCGUGCCUAAUACAUGCAAGUCGAGCGAACGGACGAGAAGCUUGCUUCUCUGAUGUUAGCGGCGGACGGGUGAGUAACACGUGGAUAACCUACCUAUAAGACUGGGAUAACUUCGGGAAACCGGAGCUAAUACCGGAUAAUAUUUUGAACCGCAUGGUUCAAAAGUGAAAGACGGUCUUGCUGUCACUUAUAGAUGGAUCCGCGCUGCAUUAGCUAGUUGGUAAGGUAACGGCUUACCAAGGCAACGAUGCAUAGCCGACCUGAGAGGGUGAUCGGCCACACUGGAACUGAGACACGGUCCAGACUCCUACGGGAGGCAGCAGUAGGGAAUCUUCCGCAAUGGGCGAAAGCCUGACGGAGCAACGCCGCGUGAGUGAUGAAGGUCUUCGGAUCGUAAAACUCUGUUAUUAGGGAAGAACAUAUGUGUAAGUAACUGUGCACAUCUUGACGGUACCUAAUCAGAAAGCCACGGCUAACUAC
rnacentral:rRNA from 1 species